GUGGGGAGAGACGGCGAGAUGUGGGGAGAGACGGUGAGAUGUUGGGAGAGACGGUGAGAGAUGGAAGACCAACUGACCAACAGACCAGUGUAUAUUUACUCACCCACAGAGUUGUUUAAAGACUGUUGUACGGUGGAGUCUAUAAAUAGGUAAAAGGUAUUCUAACAAACGUAGCAUACCCCCCCCAAGGUCUCCAUAGCCUCAUUACCUGACUGGUUACCAGGAGGUAUCAGACUCCGACACCGACUAGGGGGAGGUAUCAGACACCGUCACCGACUAGGGGGAGGUAUCCGACACCGUCACCGACUAGGGGGAGGUAUCCGACACCGACACCGACUAGGGGGAGGUAUCCGACUCCGUCACCGACUAGGGGGAGGUAUCCGACACCGUCACCGACUAGGGGGAGGUAUCAGACACCGUCACCGACUAGGGGGAGGUAUCCGACACCGUCACCGACUAGGGGGAGGUAUCCGACACCGUCACCGACUAGGGGGAGGUAUCCGUCACCGACUAGGGGGAGGUAUCCGUCACCGACUAGGGGGAGGUAUCCGUCACCGAGUAGGGGGAGGUAUCCGUCACCGACUAGGGGGAGGUAUCCGUCACCGACUAGGGGUAGGUAUCCGUCACCGACUAGGGGUAGGUAUCCGUCACCGACUAGGGGGAGGUAUCCGUCACCGACUAGGAGGAGGUAUCCGUCACCG
rnacentral:lncRNA from 1 species